CUCCCACUGCCGGCCUGGUGGUGUCGCUGAGUGUGUGAUCUGCUUGUGUCACUGUAGUGCAUAAGGAGGAAGGGAGGAGGAGGGGAGAGAGAGAGAGAGAGAGAGAGAGAGAGGAGAGAGAGAGAGGGGGAAAACAGGCCUCCACCCUGAGUAUCAGGGAAAUGGGAGUCUGUAUGAGGGAUAAAGCAGUGAGACUCGGCAUCAUCUACAUCUCUGAAGCAAAUGAGCUAUGGAGAAAAGGGCCGAGUGUAAGAUGAGGGGAGAUCAUAUUUGGCCUGUAAAACUGUGUGUGUUCAGUGGAUGAGAACUGCACAGUGAACAUUAGUGUGAACACACACACUCUGUGCUUCAUAUUAAGGUAAGAAACGUGUCUAACAGACUUCCAUUUCCUGGAA
ensembl:lncRNA